GGGGAUAUGGCUCAUGUGGUAGAGUGCUUGCCUCAUAUGCAAAAGGCCCUGGGUUCCAUCCUCAGCACUACUG
rnacentral:tRNA from 1 species